rnacentral:rRNA from 1 species
UACGAAGGGGGCGAGCGUUGUUCGGAGUUACUGGGCGUAAAGGGCGCGUAGGCGGCGCUCCAAGUUAGGCGUGAAAGCCCCGGGCUCAACCUGGGAAUUGCGCUUAAGACUGGAGUGCUCGAGUGCGGAAGAGGUGAGUGGAAUUCCCAGUGUAGAGGUGAAAUUCGUAGAUAUUGGGAUGAACACCAGUGGCGAAGGCGGCUCACUGGUCCGCAACUGACGCUGAGGCGCGAAAGCGUGGGGAGCAAACAGG